rnacentral:rRNA from 1 species
UACGAAGGGGGCUAGCGUUGUUCGGAUUUACUGGGCGUAAAGCGCACGUAGGCGGAUCGUUAAGUCGGGGGGUGAAAUCCUGGAGCUCAACUCCAGAACUGCCUUCGAUACUGGCGAUCUUGAGUCCGGAAGAGGUGAGUGGAAUUCCUAGUGUAGAGGUGGAAUUCGUAGAUAUUAGGAAGAACACCAGUGGCGAAGGCGGCUCACUGGUCCGGUACUGACGCUGAGGUGCGAAAGCGUGGGGAGCGAACAGG